CUACGGGAGGCAGCAGUGGGGAAUAUUGCACAAUGGACGAAAGUCUGAUGCAGCAACGCCGCGUGGAGGAUGACACAUUUCGGUGCGUAAACUCCUUUUAUAUAGGAAGAUAAUGACGGUACUAUAUGAAUAAGCGCCGGCUAACUCCGUGCCAGCAGCCGCGGUAAUACGGAGGGCGCAAGCGUUACUCGGAAUCACUGGGCGUAAAGAGCGUGUAGGCGGAUAGAUAAGUCAGGAGUGAAAUCCUAUGGCUCAACCAUAGAACUGCUCUUGAAACUGUCUAUCUAGAAUAUGGGAGAGGUAGAUGGAAUUUCUGGUGUAGGGGUAAAAUCCGUAGAGAUCAGAAGGAAUACCGAUUGCGAAGGCGAUCUACUGGAACAUUAUUGACGCUGAGACGCGAAAGCGUGGGGAGCAAACAGGAUUAGAUACCCCCGUAGUC
rnacentral:rRNA from 1 species